rnacentral:rRNA from 1 species
AUGGAAGCGGCAGGGGAUGGAAGGUUCAUAUGCAGUACGACGGACCUGCCUUUGAACAGGCCAGCUCAGAUGAUGGUGAAUGAUUGGGGACGAAUAGUCCUGGACAUCCGUAGCAGCGACGAAUCAACAAUUCAUCCAGCAAAUGACCUUCUCAUACAAGCCCUGGCUAUUUACCCUUGCUCCCACUUGGUUGAUCGUUGGGAAUCCAAGCUCGAGAAAGAUGCAGAAUUCAUCCGCCAAAGUGAAAAGGGUGGGAAAUGCAUAUUCCUCCUGAAUAACACAUUUGAUGUUCUGCAAAUGGUGCGGCGUCAAAGUGCAUCUUUUGCGAGUGACGAAUUGGCAAGUAGGCUCGCUUCAAUGAUCGAGCGGUACAAGAAGAGCUACUUGGACGAGUGCUGGGCUCCUCUGAACCGUCUAAACUUGGAGGAGUUUAAUGCUGAAUUUCUUGCCACCUGUCAUCGCCAGAUGACAUGGAAGGUCACAGCGGAACUCAGGUAUCAAAUGCGGCAGGAGAUCGUGGAUUUCAUUGUUCCACCGUAUGAGGUGUCCUUGUCUGCUCUGCAGGGAAGGGGGAAACGACUUUUAGGGGCGCCUUUUUCAUUAUUAAGGCGACAAAUUGUGGGAGAGAAGAAACAGAAGAAGUACUACUACUAUACUGUUGAGCAACUGGAAGGGGAGAUAAGAGGAUUAUUUGAAGGGUGA